rnacentral:tRNA from 1 species
UAGCUCAGUGAAAGAGUGCUUGCCUUGCAUGCAUGAGACCCUGGGUUCGAUUCCCCAG